CAAUUGAUAGUUGUAGUAAUUGGUAAUAAGCAGUCUUGAAAGUAUGCCCUAUGUACUUUAAAGAACUAGUAAAAUUGUUUUAUCAGAGAGCUCUUCAGCAUACUUAGGCAGCUACUAGCUAGCUACUAGCCUAGCUAAAUAGGAUGACUCAAAGACGAUCUGCCCAGUUUGGAUAGAGAUGUAAGAACUAUGACAAUGAAUAGCAUUUGGCCCACCAGAAGGGUGGGAUCACUGCAGUCAUCAUGAAACACAGUACAGAAUGGUCCCAUGUGCU